UGAUAUUUUGUGUGAUCUCUAAUUCCGGCUUAUAAUAAAGAAAAACAAAUGAUUCAAUAUUUAUUUAUAUUUUGGCGCUUAUGUGUUUAGUGUUACUUUGUCGCUCAAGCAGUUAAGUGUGAAUUUUUUAGCUGUAGGAACUUGUUUAUUUUUUUAUAACUCGGUUUCAAUUGCCAUGUCAAAUACUGGAAAAUUAUUUAUAUUCAACUUAAAAAAAAUCGAUGGGAAUCCUAAUAUAUCACAUGCGGAUAAUUCUUCCAUAUUAUUAAAAAACAGUGACAAUGAAAUUAGAAUUUUAAUAGAAACAUUCGAAAAAUUUAAUGCUGAUACUCAAAUUGUCGAAGAAACGUCAAAGGACAAAGUAAUAGAGAAAUUGACAAAAAUUGAGAAAGCUGAUUUCGCUAGAUAUAAAUAUGUCGCAGCAGCUGUACUUUUACAUCAUAAAAAUGAAAAUAUUGCACCCCAAUUACUCUAUUUUCAUAAUGAAAUCAUUUUAGCAUUUUUGAAGAAUUUUACAUUAAAAAAUAAGCCGAAGUUAUUUUUAAUACAAGCCUGUAGAAAUAAUUUUGAUAUUUUUGAUUCGACACCAAUGACCGGAAAUCGUGAAUACUUUACACCAACUAAAAUGAUAAUCUGCUAUGCAUCGAGAUAUAAUUGCUCAAAUUAUCAGGAUGAAUAUGCAAGUCGUUUCAUUGAGAAAUUCUGCGAAAAUUUGCAAAAUGAUGGUUUAAAUCUUUCUGUUCAAAGAAUAAUGAAAAAUACCAUACGAACGAUAAAGGAAGAAACUGACGAAAAACAAAUUCCCAGUUAUUUGGAUCAUUUUCACGGUGAUUUGAUGCUAUCAGCAUUCACAAUUUGAUUGUAUGACAACUAUAUUGCAAAUUUGCAUUAUAUAAAUGUGGUACUUAAUGUAUUAAUUUGUAUUUUUAAAUUGACUAGUAAAAAUUUAGUGAAGGUUGUUUAAAAUUUAAAUAUAUUUUCCUUUGUUAAAUAAAAUAAGAUGUAUACUUUUUGCAAUUGCAAUUAGUAUUAAUGAGAACCGAAUAAGUUUUCUUAUAGUUUUGGAUGACUUAAGUCUAUGAACGCCAAUAUGAACAGUUGCACGCACGUUUCUUAAAUAGUGAUAUCCCCAAGAACUUCCUCUUUUAUUCUUAAACUCUUGAAACUAAUGUUUUUCCGAAGUGAAAACGAAUUCUUAAAAGUGAUGCCGCUUUAGUGAAAGCACUAUGCAAUAAAUUCGCCUGUUCAACAUGAAAAAUGUAUUCAUAUACUAAUUAUUUAUUUAUAGUGCAUGGUAUUAACUUUUAUUUGAAAUUGCUUGGUAUGAACUAUUUUUACUAUAUAAUUACUUUGAAUUACUUUCAAUUACUUAUUACUAGCAAUACUUUUAUUUUGAAAUGUAAAUCAAGGCAUAAUAAUUAAUACAUACUAUGGUUGGAUUACCUUAGAUGCAAUUAUGAGAUUAAAAUUAAGAAUAAUCUUAUAUAAGACGGUUGCUUCUAGCAGGUUGGUAAGAAAAUAUUCAUUUACUUGUAACAAUAGAGGGUUUAGAAAUAAAAUAUUAUUCAUUGAAUUUUGAUUAAUUUUUUUUAAAAAAAUGUUUUAUUUUCCAAAAACAAAAUAUUUUUAAUAAUUAUGAAUGAAAUGAAAGUUUCAAAAAUAAUAAAUUUUUACUUAACAUAUGUUAAACUCGUUUAAUUUAUUUUCUCUUUUGUUCAUAAAACAUUUUCUUAUAUCUUUUAUUAUUUUGUUUUGCGUUCUGUAAGUACUUAUGUGAAAUAAAAGCUCAAAUUAAUAAAAAUUCAAAAUCAUAAAUUUUUUAUUUAAAUUCUAAAAGGCUUUCUUUGUAAGCUUAAGAAUUCAAAUUUGUUUUUUUUUUAUAAUUUUAGAAAAAUUUUACAUUUACAUAUUGAAUUAAGCUGUAAUUAUAAUAAAAGUUCAUUUUCAUUUAGUAUAAUUGUCAGUUUUAGGGAUAAAUCUGAGUUUGUUCUCUUUGAAUUUUGAUUUUAUCAAUGAUGAACUGGAAUUUUCCAAAAGUACUUAUCUCUUUUUUGUGUAUAAUUUUUUUGUUUUACUAUUUUUCAUUUUAAGUAUUUUUGUUGUUUUUUUUUGUUCUUUUUGUAUUUUCUUUUCUUUUGUGUGUGUAUGCAAAUUUUAAACUUUUUCUUUUUUAACUUUAGUUUUAUUUUAAUUUUAUUAUAUAAUUGCAAUUUAUUCUUAUAUAUUUUAAGUUUAAUCUUCUUAAAUGACAAAAAUAUUACUCUAUUGCAUGCGUUUUUUUUCUAAUUUUUUUAAUAUUAUUAUUAUUAUUUAAUUUCUUUGUUUUUUAUAUUUUGCUGCACAACAAAAGUUUGCAAUAUAGAAUAAUAGUACAGUUAUUUUCAUUUAAUAAUAAUUUCUUUUUUUAUAUCUAAAUUUUUAAUACUUAAAAAUUAUUUGUUUUUGAAUCAGUUCUUUGUUUUAUUUUUGUUUUCUUUUCAUUUCAUUAUACAUAUAUAAUGUAUAUUUUAUAUAUUACAAAUAUAUAUUAUAAUAUAUUAACUUAUAUAUUGCAUAUAUUAAUAUGAAUAUACGUUGAUUUUAUUUUAUUUAAUUUGAUAAAAAUAAUAAUGUUUAUUUGGAAUGUAAUUUAAAAUGAAAUUUAUUUUAAUAACGAAGUUUUUUGAAAUGUUCGCAACAUUAAAAAUUAUAAAAUUUAAUGAAAUGUUAAAUUUGUUUUUCUUAAUUUAAAUUAUUGCAUUGGAUACAUGCAUUAUUGCCAAUUCGUAGUGAUAUAAUAAUAAUUAUUUUUAAUUUAAAAAUUAUUAUACUUGAAAUAUAAAUAUACACGGUAUGUCUUUGUGUAAAUGAUGAAACUACUAAAGGAUAACUUAUAAACCUAAUAUUUUUAAGUGAGAAAGUUUCUUAUUGCAGUAAUACAUUUUUUUAAAUUCGAUUCAGCUUUAAACAUAAGUUUCUCAUUUGAAAGUGAUAACGAAUUUUUGUUUUUUUUUCUCCUUCUUUCUUUUUUUUUCAUUUAAUAUUAAUAAAAAAUAUUAAAUCUGUAUUUUUUGACAGGCCUCCGCCUGUCCGCGUAACGUAAUAAUAGUCACUAUAACAUAAAAGUAUGUAUAUGAACUGUAAAAAUUGGAAAACUAUUCUUUAAAAUUAAAGUAAAUGAUGAUUAAAAAUACAAUAAACUAUGUUUCCAAAUUAAUUAUUAAAGAAUGUUAUCGAUUUUAUUGAAUGUCUUUUUGAAAAAAUAUUACAAAGAAAUUAUAAGAUUGGCAGAAUAAUACACAAUUUCAUUUUAUAACUUCUCGAUUAUUGUGCAUAUUCAGUUUGACUCUACAAGACGCUAUAUGAAUAUGAUUCUCACGAUUCUCAUCACAUUCUUACAUUUUUUAUUAUGUACUUAUGAAACAAAAUGCAUUUUUAACAAAAGAAAUAUUCAAUUUAAAUUAUGACAUGCGUCUAAUUCUAGGUAGUGUUUAUAUCACAAAUGUAAAAAAAAAAUUGCUUAAAAUUAAAAAGUAAAUAUGUAUGUAGUUUUACAGAAAUAGUUUUUAUGAAAUGAAAAGAUUACACAAACAUUUUACAAAACAGAAAACAAAACAAUAAACUUAUUCUAAAAAUUCUUAUGCGCACAUAAAGGUACCAUUUAGACACGAAAAUUAUACAACUUUUUCUUUUUCAAAAAAAUAUAAUUCUUUUUUUUUAUAUAAAUAAACAUUUAGUGAAUUUGUUUUAACAAUUAAACAAUUUUUGUUUCAAUAAUUAAAAUACUUAUUAUAUGAGUACAUUUUGCCACUUGUUACAUAUAUAGUUUUUGACUUAUAUGUAUUUAUAUAAAUAACUCGAUUUCAAAAUUGCAGUAACGCCAUAUCGCCAUAUAAAUUGACAAUUAUAACUUAUAUACUAAAUAGUACACUAUAACUGUGUUACUGAAAUUUUGAAAUCAGAAUGAGUUGAAUUUUUUACGCAAAUACCA